CAGUAGCCGCGGGAAUACGUAGGGUGCGAGCGUUAAUCGGAAUUACUGGGCGUAAAGCGUGCGCAGGCGGUUCGUUAAGACAGAUGUGAAAUCCCCGGGCUUAACCUGGGAACUGCAUUUGUGACUGGCGAGCUAGAGUAUGGCAGAGGGGGGUAGAAUUCCACGUGUAGCAGUGAAAUGCGUAGAGAUGUGGAGGAAUACCGAUGGCGAAGGCAGCCCCCCGGGCCAAUACUGACGCUCAUGCACGAAAGCGUGGGGAGCAAACAGGAUUAGAGACCCCUGUAGUCCCUGUCUCUUAUAA
rnacentral:rRNA from 1 species